AUGUCUUACAACGAACAACUUUUUUAACAUGACUUUUUACAAGUGAAUUAAAAGAGUUAAUAGUUUAUAAAAAUAUCAACUCUUUUUAUCGAAGUCUUGGAUGGACAUGGAAACAUGACUUCGUCAGUAGUAUAAAUUGAAAAAAAAAAAUUAUAUAUAUAUAUAUAUCAAUCAUAUAUCGGUAUAACGAUUUUUUAGAAUAAGUUAGGUGAUUAGAACUUUCAAUCGGAAAUUUGAAGCAUUAAAGACUUAGAAACAGUAUUUGUGAUUUUACAUACAAAUUUGAAUUACGAU